rnacentral:rRNA from 1 species
CGAGGAUUCCCUUAGUAACUGCGAGUGAACGGGGAAAAGCCCAUCGCUGAAUCCUUCAGCCACUGGCUGCUAGGAAUUGUAGCGUAUAGGUGCGGCUGUCCGUUCGUUUCGUGCACCCAAAGUCCCCUUGAGCGGGGCUAUAGUCCAAAGAAGGUGCUAGACCUGUACGGGUGGCGAGGCGAUCGGUUGGUUGCUCCUUGGAGUCGGGUUGCCUGGGAUCGCAGCCCAAAGUUGGUGGUAGACCUCAUCUAAGGCUAAAUAUGGCCACGAAACCGAUAGCAAACAAGUACCGUGAGGGAAAGUUGCAAAGAACUUUGAAGAGAGAGUUCAAGAGGGCGUGAAACCGUUGAGAUUGAAACGGAUAGAGUUGACGGAACUCAGCUGCAUUCAUCCGAUCGGCCUAGUGGCCCGAUAGCGUUCGCAUCCUCGAUGAGGGCAACGUUAUCGGUAACUAUUGGGUAAUUGAUCGGUGUAUUUGCGGCUGGUAUGCGCUGAGAGUUUUGUGAUCGCAUGUUAACGGGUGUGCAGUGGACCAUUCCUUCCGGGCGUGGAACCCUUCACAUUUUUAGACAUGUCGAUUAUAAAGUUUUGAACGUGGCGUCUCCGCUAUUGUGCGUCGGCUUAUGCGUGCUAUCGUGAUUAUUUGAUAUUCGCAUGCGAAUGUCUGUAAUUAACGAUGAUGCGACAAAAGUGUGAGCGCGUUGAGACGUGCAUCUCGGUGUGAACGUUGACCACCUAUCCGACCCGUCUUGAAACACGGACCAAGGAGUCUAGCAUAUGCGCGAGUCAUUGAGUGGUAAACCUAAAGGCGUAAUGAAAGUAAAAGUCGCCUCGAUGCGGCCGAUAUGGGAUCCGGAUAACUUACGAGUCAUUCGGCGCACCAUAGCCCCGUCCCCGUUGCUUGCAAUAGGGCGGAGGUAGAGCGCAUAUGCUGGGACCCGAAAGAUGGUGAACUAUGCCUGAGCAGGAUGAAGCCAGAGGAAACUCUGGUGGAAGUCCGAAGCGGUUCUGACGUGCAAAUCGAUCGUCUGACUUGGGUAUAGGGGCGAAAGACUAAUCGAACCAUC